UACAGAGGUCCCGAGCGUUAUGCGGAAUCACUGGGCUUAAAGCGUGUGUAGGCGGAUCGUUAAGUACCUUGUGAAAUCCCACGGCUUAACCGUGGAACUGCUUGGUAUACUGGCGGUCUUGAGCCACUUAGGGGCUACCGGAACAAAUGGUGGAGCGGUGAAAUGCGUAGAGAUGUGGAGGAACACCAGUGGCGAAGGCGACUCUUUGGCCUGUAACUGACGCUGAGGCGCGAAAGCGUGGGGAGCAAACAGG
rnacentral:rRNA from 1 species